rnacentral:rRNA from 1 species
UACCAGCACCCCGAGUGGUCGGGACGUUUAUUGGGCCUAAAGCAUCCGUAGCCGGUUCUACAAGUCUUCCGUUAAAUCCAACUGCUUAACAGGUGGGCUGCGGAAGAUACUAUAGAGCUAGGAGGCGGGAGAGGCAAGCGGUACUCGAUGGGUAGGGGUAAAAUCCGUUGAUCCAUUGAAGACCACCAGUGGCGAAGGCGGCUUGCCAGAACGCGCUCGACGGUGAGGGAUGAAAGCUGGGGGAGCAAACGGG